AUGUAUUCACCAGGGGAGGGGCGGGAUGAAAGCGCUUUUAACCUCCCCGCCAUAAACUUUAAUCGGAUUCCGAGCUGUUGCACGGCAUGGACUCCUCGCCUCUUCUCUGCAUCUCCUUCCCCGUUGUCUCCCAUUUCUACUACAGUCUGCUUUACGAGAGCCUUUUCCAAGCGAAUGAGUGAUUCCUUUCUCUUGCCAUGUGCAAUCUUUCCCCCCUCCCCUUUCUACCCUCUCUGGCCUCUCUUACACACACUAUGUCUUUCACAUGCGGUCUGUGCCCCCCAGCCCCCUCCCUUUCUUUCUCUUUUGCAGUGUCUUCGCAUGCAAUCUCUCUCUGAAUGUGCAAUGUCUUUCCUGCUCGGGAGUGCUGCGUCCUUCACAGUGGAUUGGUUCCUCUUUCGGAGCAGAGGAGACUCCAUGGCUCUUAUUGUGGAUGUACCUAAUUUACUACAGUUCCAAGAAGUUCAUAAAGACAAAAUGGAAAGUACCAACAUUUGGGACAGUCUUACCUGA
rnacentral:lncRNA from 1 species